rnacentral:rRNA from 1 species
GACGAACGCUGGCGGCGUGCUUAACACAUGCAAGUCGAACGGAAAGGCCCUGCUUUUGUGGGGUGCUCGAUUGGCGAACGGGUGAGUAACACGUGAGUAACCUGCCCUUGACUUUGGGAUAACUCCAGGAAACUGGGGCUAAUACCGGAUAGGAGCUCCUGCUGCAUGGUGGGCGUUGGAAAGUUUCGGCGGUUGGGGAUGGACUCGCGGCUUAUCCGCUUGUUGGUGGGGUAGUGGCUUACCAGGGUUUUGACGGGUAGCCGGCCUGAGAGGGGGACCGGGCUCAUGGGGACUGAGAGACGGCCCAGACUGGUACGGGAGGCAGCAGGGGAGAAUAUUGCACAAUGGGGGGAAGCCUGAGGCAGCAACGCCGCGUGCGGGAUGACGGCCUUCGGGUUGUAAACCGCUUUCGCCGGUGACGAAGCGGGAGUGACGGUAAUGGGUAAAGAAGCACCGGCUAACUACGUG